UUAUUAGAAGGCUGAAUUAGGAGGAUUUCAAGAUCUAGUCCAGCCUGGGUAAUAUAGUUAACCCUUUCUUAGUUCAAGAGGUCAAAAACUUACUUGAAUACAAAAAUGUUGUAUCUGCAAAGUAGGUAUAAUUCUGUGAUUUCACCCAAUUGAAACACUAUGUUGGCAGUAGGAAUAGUAAUUCCUACCAUAUUAUGAGCUAACUCUUAGGUGCUAGGUUCAGUUCUGUAUACUUUCUGUAGAAUCUCAUUGAAGUAGGAGAGUUGCAUUCUGAAAGAUGGCUACUAUUUUUGAUCCCCAUUGUCACUGAGCUCCUAGGUGCCUGAGAAGUAGGGAGUAGGUAACAGAGAUUACAGUAGAAUUGAAAUUUUAUUUUCAAUUGCUCCUUUUAUUCAGACAUGCUGGUCUAGCAUGGAGGCAACUCACUGGUAGUGCACUUGCCUUGAAUGGGGAAGGCCAUGCACUGUAUCAUUACUACUUUGAAUAAAUACAAAAGUAGAGAAAUAAGGAAAUUCCAAAGGCUUCCCUUUCUUCAGAACUCAUUACCUGCUAUCUAAUACUUAGAAUUUUCUGGAUGAAGGUUCUUUGACCUAGUUCUCCAAGUUCCUAAAACCCCCUCUCCUUUCCACAGGACUGCCCUGCAUUACGCCUCUACCCAUGACCAUCCCGGUGUGGUGUGUUUACUCAUCAAGAAACACUGCAAUAUAAAUGCCCGGGAUGAUGAGAAGAGCACACCCCUAAUUAAGGUGUGCUGACACACACCUGUAAUCCUAUCGUGGGAGCCCGAGGCAGGAAGAUUUUGAAUUGAGGCAAGGCUGAGGUUACCUAAGCAUAUCCUGUCUCAAAAGAAGGGGCUGUACAGCGGGA